rfam:Brugia malayi, FR3, WGS project CAPY01000000 data, contig: ctg1511338
AUAGAUCUGUUCGAAUUAAACAUAUCGAUUCUUAUCAGUUUAAUCUCUGAUAUGUGAUCAAUUGAUCACUUCGAGAUUAUCCUGCUUAAAAGGAUUUGAAAGGGGCUUGUUUCUCACCUAUCACGGGUUGAUCCGGUAUUGUAUUUACCCAUGGGAACAGUCCAUGUACC